UACGUAGGGUGCAAGCGUUGUCCGGAAUUAUUGGGCGUAAAGAGCGCGUAGGCGGCCUGGCAGGUCUGCUGUGAAAUCUCGGGGCUCAACCUCGAGACGGCGGCGGAAACCAUCUGGCUAGAGUCCGGAAGAGGAGAGUGGAAUUCCUGGUGUAGCGGUGAAAUGCGCAGAUAUCAGGAAGAACACCGGUGGCGAAGGCGGCUCUCUGGGCCGGGACUGACGCUGAGGCGCGAAAGCGUGGGGAGCGAACAGG
rnacentral:rRNA from 1 species